GCGCCGGUGGUAGCAACAGCAGCACAUCCGCCUUCCGGGCGGGAGGUCCAGGUGCGAAUCCUGGCCGGCGCUCCA
rnacentral:tRNA from 1 species